rnacentral:misc_RNA from 1 species
GCAGACACUGUGUAAAGAUAGAGAGAAUGAGAUUCUCUCUAUAUAGAAGGUAAAGAAGAAGAUAGUGAUUAAAGAAGAAGCGAGAAGGUGGGGAGGAAGUGGAUUUUCUCAUGGGGAUAACCCCAAAUGACCCACCACUGCCAACCCCACUCUUUCAGCAAUUGUAGAUAUAAGGAAGCGCAAGAAAAUCACGCUGCAACAGAAGAAUGAAGGCCUGAGGUGGGUGAGAAAUACUUGUCAAUUAAUGUCUCUUACACCGAGGAUGGGGAAGCCGAACUUCCAAGCUAGAAACGUUUACAUGAAUGUACCACAUAACAUGAGUAGGCUAAUAUGAAUUUUCGGCUCACAAAAUCUUCUUCAUUUUCAAUUGGCUGUGAGCUAGCCAGUUUGAGAAUAAGCUAUAGAAAGAGAAAAAGAUAAAUGGUGAUUACAGAGAAGAACGGAAAGAAACUGCGAGAACAGAGUGAGUGAGGGAGGGAUUGUAGAAUGAGGACUUAAAUAAAAUUGUACUUAAUAUUAAAUGUUAAAACAAAAAGAACUGUGUUUUUAUCAUUUCACAAGAUAAAUAUUAAGACAUACCCUGGCCUUCUAAUACGAGCAAGGCCGGCUCUCUACAGCAAAAUGGAGAUGGGCAACGAAAUCACAGAAAUCCCAGAGACAAACCCAAAUCCGAAUGAAUCUUCGCAGACUGAUCCGAAUCCGAGCCCGAAGCCUCGAACGGUCAGGACAAAGGUGCCGGAGGUGGAGAUCCAUCUAUACCGACAAGGCAAGGGUCCGAUCGACGUGUUCAAGUCUAGCUUGGGAGGGUGGGACCAGGACCUGUUGGAGCUUCGAGAUAUCCUCGACAAGUAUGGGUUCAAGUCAGUCUACGCUUUCAAUCCCGAUUCCGGACGGGCCGCGCCGAUCAGGUUCAAUGGGAGGAAUGGGAGGUCUAUUCUUGGGUACAGAGAUGGAUCGGUGAUUUGCAUUGAUGGAGAGCCAAAGGACUCCUUGAUCAAACCCCUGACCAAAAUCUUGUUUGGGGUAGCAGUUAUAACCCUUUUUAUAACAAUGGCUGUGAAAGAUCCUCCUGAAUGGAUAAAAAAAUCUAACUUUUUUGGUGGAAGCUUCCCACCAUGGAUCCUUGCUUGUGCAGUUAUUGUUUUUACUCGUAUGAGGAAGAGAACCAGGGACUUCUUAAAGAAACAUGGCUGGUAAACACAUUGCUUUUGCGUGGGGUUGUGGGACGGGGAGGAGCUUUAAAUGAAGUUUUGUGUAAAACAACCAUAAAAGAUGCUAAAACAACAUUAUUAAGCAGCAGUUUCCUUUUGGUUUUGUGAGAUGUUGAUUGAAGAUUUCAUUAAAUCAUAAACAGAGCCAGAAAAUAUUAGGUUCAAAUGCAUCCUCAAUGACUCAAUCAAUGUUACUCCGAAAAUUACAAUUUUUUUUUAGUUCCUCUUUUCCAGUAUUCUUUGAAUCUGGUAGUGAUGUCUAGCAUGUAAAGGAAUCAUUAUAUAUGAAUUUCUAAUCAGUUCAUUUAUUUAUUUAAUUACUUUUUAAGAAUAA